rnacentral:rRNA from 1 species
CGGGGUGCAGCAGGCGCGAAAACUUUACAAUGCGGGAAACCGUGAUAAGGGGACACCGAGUGCCAGCAUCAUAUGCUGGCUGUCCAGGUGUGUAAAAUACACCUGUUAGCAAGGGCCGGGCAAGACCGGUGCCAGCCGCCGCGGUAACACCGGCGGCCCGAGUGGUGAUCGUGAUUAUUGGGUCUAAAGGGUCCGUAGCCGGUUUGGUCAGUCCUCCGGGAAAUUUGAUAGCUCAACUAUUAGGCUUUCGGGGGAUACUGCCAGACUUGGAACCGGGAGAGGUAAGAGGUACUACAGGGGUAGGAGUGAAAUCUUGUAAUCCCUGUGGGACCACCUGUGGCGAAGGCGUCUUACCAGAACGGGUUCGACGGUGAGGGACGAAAGCUGGGGGCACGAACCGGAUUAGAUACCCGGGUAGUCCCAGCCGUAAACGAUGCUCGCUAGGUGUCAGACAUGGCGCGACCGUGUCUGGUGCCGCAGGGAAGCCGUGAAGCGAGCCACCUGGGAAGUACGGCCGCAAGGCUGAAACUUAAAGGAAUCGGCGGGCGAGCACAAGGGCGAAUCGCGG